GACGAACGCUGGCGGCGUGCUUAACACGUGCAAGUCGAACGGAAAGGCCCUGCUUUUGUGGGGUGCUCGAGUGGCGAACGGGUGAGUAACACGUGAGUAACCUGCCCUUGACUUUGGGAUAACUUCAGGAAACUGGGGCUAAUACCGGAUAGGAGCUCCUGCUGCAUGGUGGGGGUUGGAAAGUUUCGGCGGUUGGGGAUGGACUCGCGGCUUAUCAGCUUGUUGGUGGGGUAGUGGCUUACCAAGGCUUUGACGGGUAGCCGGCCUGAGAGGGUGACCGGCCACAUUGGGACUGAGAUACGGCCCAGACUCCUACGGGAGGCAGCAGUGGGGAAUAUUGCACGAUGGGCGGAAGCCUGAUGCAGCAACGCCGCGUGCGGGAUGACGGCCUUCGGGUUGUAAACCGCUUUCGCCUGUGACGAAGCGUGAGUGACGGUAAUGGGUAAAGAAGCACCGGCUAACUACGUG
rnacentral:rRNA from 1 species